ncrna:unclassified sequences NMT1 RNA
UCCCUGAGUAGAAGCUGUCAGCCGGAAAGCCUCCGGUGGGUCAUUGCUCCCUUG